rnacentral:rRNA from 1 species
GCAGUAGCCACGGGAAUACGAAGGGUGCAAGCGUUAAUCGGAAUUACUGGGCGUAAAGCGCGCGUAGGUGGUUUGGUAAGAUGGAUGUGAAAUCCCCGGGCUCAACCUGGGAACUGCAUCCAUAACUGCCUGACUAGAGUACGGUAGAGGGUGGUGGAAUUUCCUGUGUAGCGGUGAAAUGCGUAGAUAUAGGAAGGAACACCAGUGGCGAAGGCGACCACCUGGACUGAUACUGACACUGAGGUGCGAAAGCGUGGGGAGCAAACAGGAUUAGAUACCCCAGUAGUCCCUGUCUCUUAUAC